AAUGAACGUUGGCGGCGUGGAUUAGGCAUGCAAGUCGAGGGAGAACCCGCAAGGGGGAAACCGGCGAACGGGGUAGGAAUACGUAGGUAACGUACCCUCAGGACGGGGAUAGCCACGGGAAACUGUGGGUAAUACCCGAUGAUCUGGUCUGGCUCAAGUGCCGGAUCAGCAAAGGUGAGAUUCCACCUGAGGAGCGGCUUACGCGAUAUUAGCUAGUUGGCGAGGUAACGGCUCACCAAGGCGACGAUAUCUAGGGGGUGUGAGAGCAUGGCCCCCACCACUGGGACUGAGAUACUGCCCAGACACCUACGGGUGGCUGCAGUCGAGAAUCUUCGGCAAUGGGCGAAAGCCUGACCGAGCGACGCCGCGUGCGGGAUGAAGGUCUUCGGAUUGUAAACCGCUGACGGGAGGGAUGAAGUGCACGGGGGCAAUCCCCUGUGUUUGACAGAGCUCCGGAGGAAGCACGGGCUAAGUUCGUGCCAGCAGCCGCAGUAACAC
rnacentral:rRNA from 1 species